ACCCAACUGACGAGCCCCAAAUAGGACGAAAUGCAUUUCCUGGAU
rnacentral:hammerhead_ribozyme from 1 species